rnacentral:rRNA from 1 species
UACGGGGGGAGCAAGCGUUGUUCGGAUUUACUGGGCGUAAAGGGCGCGUAGGCGGCCACCGCAAGUCGGUUGUGAAAUCUCCGGGCUUAACCCGGAAAGGUCAAUCGAUACUGCGGGGCUAGAGUGCAGAAGGGGCAACUGGAAUUCUCGGUGUAGCGGUGAAAUGCGUAGAUAUCGAGAGGAACACCUGCGGCGAAGGCGGGUUGCUGGGCUGACACUGACGCUGAGGAGCGAAAGCGUGGGGAGCAAACAGG